rnacentral:rRNA from 1 species
UACGUAGGGUGCGAGCGUGUCCGGAAUUAUUGGGCGUAAAGGGCUCGUAGGCGGUUUGUCGCGUCGGGAGUGAAAUCAUCUGGCUUAACUGGGUGCUUGCUUUCGAUACGGGGCAGACUAGAGGUAUGCAGGGGAGAACGGAAUUCCUGGUGUAGCGGUGAAAUGCGCAGAUAUCAGGAAGAACACCCGUGGCGAAGGCGGCUCUCUGGUACGUGACUGACGCUGAGACGCGAAAGCGUGGGGAGCGAACAGG